UGGAUCUGUCGGUGUGCGGCCAGCGGGUUGGAUCUGUCGGUGUGCGGCCAGCGGGUUGGAUCUGUCGGUGUGCGGCCAGCGGGUUGGAUCUGUCGGUGUGCGGCCAGUGGGUUGGAUCUGUCAGUGUGCGGCCAUUGGGUUUGGAUCUGUCAGCUAAUGUGUUCCAGCCUCCAGAGUGUUCCAGCCGCCAAAGUGUUCCAGCCGCCAAAGUGUUCCAGCCGCCAAAGUGUUCCAGCCGGAGGACAGCAUUUGGCUACAGUGCUUGUUGGGCUGAAUCCCAUCGCUUUUAAAAAAUGACAGCGGUGGCUUCAGUCAGUGGCAGCAGGUAGGCUGAUGUUCAUCAUAAUGUUGUGUACUAUACUAUACUGUACUGUAUCAGCAUGUCCCCCACGCAUGACAUGAACAUGACUUCAACAAUAAGGUGUUUUUUACACUUUGUAUUCUAAAAUCAAUCAGGAUAUUUGUUGUGGAACAUUUUCACAUUAAAAAGUAGAUAAGGUGAAAAAGAGACACACAAGGACAGAAAAAGCACCAUUAUUAUCAUUAUUAUUGUUGCUGCCAUUAUUAGGGUCCGAGCACCGACGGUGCGGAGGACCCUAUUGGAAUGCAAGGAAUUAUUUAUUAUUAUUAUUAUUAUUAUUAUUAUUAUUAUUAUUAUUAUUAUUAUUAUUAUUAUUAUUAUUAUUAUUAUUAUUCUUUGCCCGCCGGGAAAUCGCCAUUUUUGGCGGCCUUAUCAUACCCCAAAACGCGUCAAACUUGGCAUGCUCAUCAGGACUGGCGAAAAAUUUGAUAUUUUAUGGGAGUUGCGCAUGUGUGUGAGAAUAUGGCUCCAUAGCGCCCCCUGGAAAAUUGAAAAUUUGGUCAUUAGGCCAACUUGCACGACGUUUCAUCUACAGCUACAAAAUUUUGUAGGCAUAUUCAGCACAUCAGGAAACCCAAAAAAGUCAAUUAUGGCCACGCCCUAAACCCAACAGGAAGUCGGCCAUCUUGAAUUAGCUGUAGAUUUUUUAAAAUUAAUAACUCAUCGGGGAUAAGUCUGAGAGACGUCAAAUUUGGCCAAUACAUGCAAACACGCGGCCUGAUGAAAAGUGAUCAAAAUGUUCAUCUCAUUUCAAAGGGCGUGGCCAUGGCGAC